AGGCAAUUGAAGACCUUCACCAUUAAGCGCAGCGGAAGCGUGAUAUAUACGAGAUGACUUCUCUCAAUUCAUGUAAGUACUUAUUAUUAUGAUUAAUUGAUGUUAUUUAUUCUAUGUAAUAACACGUUCCUGUAUAAUUUAUUCAACAGUUUACUCCCGCUCUAUACAGAUGCAACUUAGAUGCAACAGUUACACUGAUCUCGGUGCUUGCUGGAGCAAAUAGGACAUCUCCUUCAGAAACUAUAUGUUCAGCAGCAGAAUGCAUUGUUUCAUCUCCCGAUGCGACCUAAAAAAUGGAGGGACCAGGGAUUGUAGGGAAUACAAUUGAUUAAGUAGUGCACCACAGCUUAAUUUUAUGUAUAGUGGUAUAUUUUGUGGAUGUAGUCAAAUUCACAAUUCAAUAUAGUAGUAAUUAUAUUGAAAAGUGAAUUUGAGAUGUAUGAAUAGUUUGGUAUUAUUGGGAUGUAAACGUAUUGUAUGGUAUUAAUAUUCUUUGUAAUUGAUAUAUUUUGAAUUUGAG
rnacentral:lncRNA from 1 species